GGGCCUGCGGCGUGCCUAUACAUGCAAGUCGAGCGGACAGAAGGGAGCUUGCUCCCGGAUGUUAGCGGCGGACGGGUGAGUAACACGUGGGUAACCUGCCUGUAAGACUGGGAUAACUCCGGGAAACCGGAGCUAAUACCGGAUAGUUCCUUGAACCGCAUGGUUCAAGGAUGAAAGACGGUUUCGGCUGUCACUUACAGAUGGACCCGCGGCGCAUUAGCUAGUUGGUGGGGUAAUGGCUCACCAAGGCGACGAUGCGUAGCCGACCUGAGAGGGUGAUCGGCCACACUGGGACUGAGACACGGCCCAGACUCCUACGGGAGGCAGCAGUAGGGAAUCUUCCGCAAUGGACGAAAGUCUGACGGAGCAACGCCGCGUGAGUGAUGAAGGUUUUCGGAUCGUAAAGCUCUGUUGUUAGGGAAGAACAAGUGCGAGAGUAACUGCUCGCACCUUGACGGUACCUAACCAAAAAGCCACGGCUAACUACGUGCCAGCAGCCGCGGUAAUACUUAGUUGGCAAGCGUUGUCCGGAAUUUAUUGGGCGUAAAGUGCUCGCAGGCGGUUUCUUAAGUGUGAUGUGAAAGCCCCCGGCUCAACCGGGGAGGGUCAUUGGAAACUGGGAAACUUGAGUGCAGAAGAGGAGAGUGGAAUUCCACGUGUAGCGGUGAAAUGCGUAGAGAUGUGGAGGAACACCAUUGGCGAAGGCGACUCUCUGGUCUGUAACUGACGCUGAGGAGCUAAAGCGUGGGGAGCGAACAGGAUUAGAUAUGCGUGGUAGUCCACGCCGUAAACGAUAAGAGUGCUAAGUGUUAGGGGGUUUCCGCCCCUCUAUUGCUGCAGCUACUUACGCUAUUAAGCGACUCCGCCUGGGUGAUUCACGGUCGCGAGUCAUUGACACUCCGAAGUAAUUGACGGGGGCCCGCACAAGCGUUUGAGCGAAAUAUUGUGGUAUUAAUUCGAAGCCACGCGAAGAACCUAAUCAAACAACAGGUCUUGACAUCCUCUGACAACCCUAGAGAUAGGGCUUUCCCUUCGGGGACAGAGUGACAGGUGGUGCAUGGUUGUCGUCAGCUCGUGUCGUGAGAUGUUGGGUUAAGUCCCGCAACGAGCGCAACCCUUGAUCUUAGUUGCCAGCAUUCAGUUGGGCACUCUAAGGUGACUGCCGGUGACAAACCGGAGGAAGGUGGGGAUGACGUCAAAUCAUCAUGCCCCUUAUGACCUGGGCUACACACGUGCUACAAUGGACAGAACAAAGGGCUGCGAGACCGCAAGGUUUAGCCAAUCCCAUAAAUCUGUUCUCAGUUCGGAUCGCAGUCUGCAACUCGACUGCGUGAAGCUGGAAUCGCUAGUAAUCGCGGAUCAGCAUGCCGCGGUGAAUACGUUCCCGGGCCUUGUACACACCGCCCGUCACACCACGAGAGUUUGCAACACCCGAAGUCGGUGAGGUAACCUUUAUGGAGCCAGCCGCCGAAGGUGGGCAGAUGG
rnacentral:rRNA from 1 species